rnacentral:rRNA from 23 species
UUGACCUCGGAUCAGGUAGGAAUACCCGCUGAACUUAAGCAUAUCAAUAAGCCGGAGGAA